CUUUCCUUUCCUUCUCUGUCCCUCCCUGGAUUGUGAUGUAGGCAGUCUGCUCUGUCACAGAUUCUCCCACUGCCAUCCAGGUUCUCACACCAGAAUCUCAAAGUCAAAGGACUCCUGUUCUCGGACUAGAACUUACAACCUUUAAAUCCUAACGAACCUCUUCUCUCUGACAAAUGAAAAGGAGAUAUGUCAUAUUUAUUAUUUGUCUUUUAUUGGAUUCCUCUUCCAAAUGUACUGACCAUUCAAGUGGAUGAAAAAAUUUAUGAAAGGAAUGCUUUAUGAAAGUGGAUGAAGUCUUUGCCUUAUCUGUCUAUAAAGAUGUCAAAUGUAAGACAUAAAAAAGAAUUGAAGAGAAUGAACUAUAGAACGUUUUGUGUCAAACAAAAAUGUUUUUGUAUGUUGAAUCCUAGGAGAAUACUUAAAGGGAUAAAGUCAAUAAGGGCACAUACAAUUUUAUUUUGUAAAUAAAUAUAUUUAUAGUUUUAUUUAACACCAUAGUUUACACCCAGCAUUUGGUCAUUCAUAUUUUAUGUUAUAUAAAGAUCCAAAUAACUUAAUAAAUUUUAUAGCAUAUUUCUAUACAUUACUAUUGAUAAUUCUUUCAUUGUAUCUCCACAAAGGAGAGGGACUCAUUAAGAUCUGCUCUUCUCUCCUGAGCCCUGUGGCCCUUCUACUGACCAACAUCCUGCCCACAACACUGAACCACCCUUGCAAUAAACUAUACCACUCAAGAGAGCCUUCUGGCUACUAUGCCAUUUGAUGAAGUGGGCUAUCAUAGAAAGGUAAUAAAAAAGGGCCCACAGAGGUUAAGUUCAGCGUAAGGCCUCUUCUUGUACCACAUACAUUCAAUAAACUUCUGUCACUCUGCAAUAGAUAAGUUUGUUUUUCUGCUUUUUAAGGAUGUAAUUUGCUUCUGUCUGUAUUACAUUCUGUGGUUAAAUAAAGGCCACACAUAUUUGUUCCAUUUGAAGACAUCCAAAUUUCACCUCCUGGUGUUAAUGUAAUGAAAAGAGGUCACAAAUAAUCCAGUUCAUCACUGGGAACUGUCCUGCUAAGAUGAGGUAACUAAGGCUUCAUUUCAAUUCUAUCUAAUGCACAUAGAAUGUGACAUAAAAAAACACAAAGUUUAUCACAAAGAAACAAAUGGUUUGGAUAAAGAGGAUGAUCAAACAAUAUUUACUGCCAAGUGGAAUAUUACAUUUUAGUAUAUUUGCAUAUAGAAAUAAUCUUUAAAUAAAAGUAUGCCAUUUAAAAAAAAGUAAGUAAAAGCAAAUGUAUGUCCAUUCAGUCUUCAUCAAUAUUCUGUGGAAACUGUUUAUAAAUGCAAAAGUAUACAGUGUUUAUAAUGAAACAAUUUCUGCAUUACAUAUUCUGCAAGAUAGUUAACAGAAGGAAUCAGAAAAAUUUAUUUUUCUCAGUAUUUAACAUGUCAAAGUUCAGUGAUGAAUUAUUCAUGGUCAAAUGAUAACUGAAUUUAGCUUGAAAUAUAUACUGGUUUAAAUAAACCUCCAGUGCAUGUAGGAUUCCACAGGGCCUUGAAAAGAAAAAAAAAAAGAAAUGAAUGGCAAAUAACAAAAUGAAAUGAAAUUUUAAAAGAUGAUAUUAAAUGUU